AGAGUUUGAUCCUGGCUCAGGACGAACGCUGGCGGCGUGCUUAACACAUGCAAGUCGAACGGAAAGGCCCUUCGGGGUACUCGAGUGGCGAACGGGUGAGUAACACGUGGGUGAUCUGCCCUGCACUUUGGGAUAAGCCUGGGAAACUGGGUCUAAUACCGAAUAUGACCAUGCGCCUCCUGGUGUGUGGUGGAAAGCUUUUGCGGUGUGGGAUGGGCCCGCGGCCUAUCAGCUUGUUGGUGGGGUAAUGGCCUACCAGGGCGACGACGGGUAGCCGGCCUGAGAGGGUGACCGGCCACACUGGGACUGAGAUACGGCCCAGACUCCUACGGGAGGCAGCAGUGGGGAAUAUUGCACAAUGGGCGCAAGCCUGAUGCAGCGACGCCGCGUGAGGGAUGACGGCCUUCGGGUUGUAAACCUCUUUCAGCACAGACGAAGCGCAAGUGACGGUAUGUGCAGAAGAAGGACCGGCCAACUACGUGCCAGCAGCCGCGGUAAUACGUAGGGUCCGAGCGUUGUCCGGAAUUACUGGGCGUAAAGAGCUCGUAGGUGGUUUGUCGCGUUGUUCGUGAAAACUCACAGCUUAACUGUGGGCGUGCGGGCGAUACGGGCAGACUUGAGUACUGCAGGGGAGACUGGAAUUCCUGGUGUAGCGGUGGAAUGCGCAGAUAUCAGGAGGAACACCGGUGGCGAAGGCGGGUCUCUGGGCAGUAACUGACGCUGAGGAGCGAAAGCGUGGGGAGCGAACAGGAUUAGAUACCCUGGUAGUCC
rnacentral:rRNA from 1 species